UUCUGAAUGGGACCUAAAGCACAAAC
rnacentral:piRNA from 1 species